rnacentral:sRNA from 1 species
AAAUCGCCUGCCAGAAUGACGGAGUCUC